UACGUAGGGGGCAAGCGUUGUCCGGAAUUACUGGGCGUAAAGAGCUCGUAGGUGGUUUGUCACGUCGUCUGUGAAAUUCCGGGGCUUAACCUCGGGCGUGCAGGCGAUACGGGCAAUACUUGAGUGCUGUAGGGGAGACUGGAAUUCCUGGUGUAGCGGUGGAAUGCGCAGAUAUCAGGAGGAACACCGAUGGCGAAGGCAGGUCUCUGGGCAGUAACUGACGCUGAGGAGCGAAAGCAUGGGUAGCGAACAGGAUUAGA
rnacentral:rRNA from 1 species